UCCAAUAAGAAAAAUAUAAUUUUAUUUUAACAACUAUAUCUAAAAUUUAUAAAUAUUCACGUAUAGAUAUUUUAAAUAUUAUAAACUAAAUUAAACUAACUAAAAUUUAAUUUUAACAUCUCUAUUGUACAAAUUUAUUGGUGUGUAUGAGAUAUAUACACACUUGGCCAGUGCAGUCAAUGAGUUCGACUAAAUACCACUUUGAGUUAGACCCUCAACUAUGUUAAUUUGAUUAAUAUUUUAUCGACCUUUAAUUAUUUUUAUUUUUAUUUGAGUUAUUCAUUACCUGUUAAUUAUUAAUUCAAUUAAAACACUCUUCCAAUUCUUGACAUUGCUUGCAUUGGUGUCAACAAAAAUAACCUAAAUAGAAUCAGAAAAGUAAAAAAAAAAAUAACACAAAAAGAUGAUAUGUACUAACACAAAUAAUAAGUAUAUUAUUAAAUUACUUUUUCUGUUUCAGAAAAUUUCACUUUUUUGAAAUCAAAUGUUGAUACAAAUGUAUGUUUAAUACAUAUAUUAAAAACUUGAUAGCAAAAAGAGCGUUUUACUAUUAAUAAUAUUAUAGCCUAAUUCUAUAUAUAUAUAUCCUAUAUUCUAAAAUUAUAAUUAAAAAUAUAUAUUCAUCUUAUCCUCAGCAAAGCGCGGGUACAUUGCUAGUAGCUAUUCUAAAACAGCAUUUUGCCACGU
rnacentral:lncRNA from 1 species